CUAGUAGCUCUUAGUUUUAUUGGUCUCUUGAGCAUUGGAUUAGGCAAUGCUGCAAGGGUGACUAGAUAUGCUAGUACCUACGGAACGGGCUAUGGAGGAGGGGAGGGCGGGGGUGAAGUGAGUGGUGCUGGCUCAGGUUCUGGAGCUGGGUCUGGGUCUGGCCAGAGUUCUAGCAGUGGUGUACAUGCAAACGGUGCCGGUGGAGGCGGAGGGGGUGGUAGUAGCCAAUAUGGUGGCAGUGGUUCUGGGAGGGCAUCAGGUCUCGGUGCAGGCUAUGGUCAGUAUAGUGAAGGAAGAAAUGGUGAUGUUGGUGGAUUUUCUAGCACCGGCGGUACCGGCGGUGGCGAUGGUGGAGGACAAGCGAGCGGGGGUCAAGGAUCUAGUGGCCAUGGAUCGGGCAAAGGUGUUGCAUCCGGCUCUAGCGACGCCACUAAUAACUACUACACUGGAAACAGUAAUGCAGAGGCACAUGCUAAUACCAUCGGUAGUGGCAGUGGAUAUGGCACAAAUGGUGGUAGCGCUGGCGGUACCGGUGCUGGAUCUGCGUUUGCCGAUGCCAAUCCUUAA
rnacentral:rRNA from 1 species